rnacentral:piRNA from 1 species
AGCCUACUGCAGAACUAUAAGCCAAUUAA